UACGGGGGGAGCAAGCGUUGUUCGGAUUUACUGGGCGUAAAGGGCGCGUAGGCGGCCAGUGCAAGUCAGUUGUGAAAUCUCCGAGCUUAACUCGGAAAGGUCAACUGAUACUGCGCGGCUAGAGUGCGGAAGGGGCAACUGGAAUUCUCGGUGUAGCGGUGAAAUGCGUAGAUAUCGAGAGGAACACCUGCGGCGAAGGCGGGUUGCUGGGCCGACACUGACGCUGAGGCGCGAAAGCUAGGGGAGCGAACGGG
rnacentral:rRNA from 1 species